AUACGUAGGUGGCGAGCGUUGUCCGGAAUGAUUGGGCGUAAAGGGCGCGUAGGCGGCCCGGUAAGUCUGGAGUGAAAGUCCUGUUUUUAAGAUGGGAAUUGCUUUGGAUACUGUCGGGCUUGAGUGCAGGAGAGGUAAGUGGAAUUCCCAGUGUAGCGGUGAAAUGCGUAGAGAUUGGGAGGAACACCAGUAGCGAAGGCGACUUACUGGACUGUAACUGACGCUGAGGCGCGAAAGUGUGGGGAGCAAACAGGAUUAGAUACCCUGGUAGUCCACACUGUAAACGAUGAAUGCUAGGUGUAGGGGGUAUCGACCCCUUCUGUGCCGCAGUCAACACAAUAAGCAUUCCGCCUGGGGAGUACGGCCGCAAGGUUGAAACUCAAAGGAAUUGACGGGG
rnacentral:rRNA from 1 species